rnacentral:rRNA from 1 species
CACGUAGGCGGGAUGGCAAGUCGGUCGUGAAAUCCUUCGGCUCAACCGAAGAACGUCGGCCGAUACUGCCGUUCUUGAGGGAUGCAGAGGAGACUGGAAUUCCCGGUGUAGCGGUGAAAUGUGUAGAGAUCGGGAGGAACACCGGUGGCGAAGGCGGGUCUCUGGGCAUCUCCUGACGCUGAGGCGCGAAAGCGUGGGGAGCAAACGGGAUUAGAUACCCCGGUAGUCCACGCCAUAAACGAUGACGACUAGGUGUGGGGUGGUUCAGUCCACUCCGUGCCGCAGCUAACGCAUUAAGUCGUCCGCCUGGGGAGUACGGCCGCAAGGUUGAAA